rnacentral:lncRNA from 1 species
AGAAAAUAUCCACAACAUAAUUUCUACAAGAUUAGAGGAAGGAGAGAGACAAUGGGGAUUCCAAUUUUACUAGGAAUAUCCACCUCUGAGAGGAAAAUAUCCAUCUCUGUGGAUGUCAUCUGGUCUGCAGAAAACCCUUUCCUGGAACUCCCAGGAUCGGCUAUACUGAAGCUACUGCAUAGCUGUGAAGUGUGGGAGCUGCUGGUGAAAACAGUAAAUCUUUCCAGUUGCACGUGUGUGUCACUUAACCAAAGAAUCAUCGGAAAGUAAAGUUGUCACCACAAAAUAGCAACUGUAGUAGGAGAAUGUCUCUGUCAUUUUCUGUGUAAUGAAAAAUCUGGUAACAUCUGUG